AUGCACAAAGCACAUGACCGUGUGGAAUGGUGCUUUCAUGAAGGAAUUAUGUUGAGAAUGGGAUUUGAUGUGAGAUGGGUAGAACUAAUGAUGGCAUGUGUUAAAUCUGUUACAUAUUCAGUGAGAUUUAAUUCGCAGAUAACAGAAAGAUUUAUCCCAUCACGGGGGCUCCGACAGGGUGAUCCACUUAGCCCAUAUUUAUUUUUGUUGGUGGCAGAGGGUUUAUCAGCCUUAUUGUCGGAUGCUGAAGAAAGAGGAGCAAUCGAAGGGGUGAAGGUAUGUCGUGAUGCUCCCUCGGUAUCACACCUUCUAUUUGCUGACGAUUCUUUAAUUUUGAUGAAAGCAGAUGUGGCUAAUGCAAAUACAUUAAAGGGUAUUCUGCAAUCAUAUUGCAAUGCGUCCGGUCAAAUGGUAAGUGAAGCUAAAUGC
rnacentral:rRNA from 1 species